AUAGUACCACAAGAGGAAGAGACGGCUAACUCUGUGCCAGCAGCCGCGGUAAUACAGAGGUCUCAAGCGUUGUUCGGAAUCACUGGGCGUAAAGCGUGCGUAGGCUGUUUCGUAAGUCGUGUGUGAAAGGCGCGGGCUCAACCCGCGGACGGCACAUGAUACUGCGAGACUAGAGUAAUGGAGGGGGAACCGGAAUUCUCGGUGUAGCAGUGAAAUGCGUAGAUAUCGAGAGGAACACUCGUGGCGAAGGCGGGUUCCUGGACAUUAACUGACGCUGAGGCACGAAGGCCAGGGGAGCGAAAGGGAUUAGAUACCCCUGUAGUCCUGGCAGUAAACGGUGCACGCUUGGUGUGCGGGGAAUCGACCCCCUGCGUGCCGGAGCUAACGCGUUAAGCGUGCCGCCUGGGGAGUACGGUCGCAAGAUUAAAACUCAAAGAAAUUGACGGGGACCCGCACAAGCGGUGGAGUAUGUGGCUUAAUUCGAUGCAACGCGAAGAACCUUACCUGGGCUUGACAUGUAAUGAACAACAUGUGAAAGCAUGCGACUCUUCGGAGGCGUUACACAGGUGCUGCAUGGCCGUCGUCAGCUCGUGUCGUGAGAUGUUUGGUUAAGUCCAGCAACGAGCGCAACCCCUGUUGCCAGUUACCAGCACGUGAAGGUGGGGACUCUGGCGAGACUGCCCAGAUCAACUGGGAGGAAGGUGGGGACGACGUCAGGUCAGUAUGGCCCUUAUGCCCAGGGCUGCACACGUACUACAAUGCCCAGUACAGAGGGGGCCGAAGCCGCGAGGCGGAGGAAAUCCUAAAAACUGGGCCCAGUUCGGACUGUAGGCUGCAACCCGCCUACACGAAGCCGGAAUCGCUAGUAAUGGCGCAUCAGCUACGGCGCCGUGAAUACGUUCCCGGGUCUUGUACACACCGCCCGUCACAUCAUGGAAGCCGGUCGCACCCGAAGUAUCUGAAGCCAACCGCAAGGAGGCAGGGUCCUAAGGUGAGACUGGUAACUGGGAUGAAGUCGUAACAAGGUAGCCGUAGGGGAACCUGCGGCUG
rnacentral:rRNA from 1 species